rnacentral:rRNA from 1 species
UACGGGGGGAGCAAGCGUUGUUCGGAUUUACUGGGCGUAAAGGGCGCGUAGGCGGCCAGCACAAGUCAGUUGUGAAAUCUCCGAGCUUAACUCGGAAAGGUCAACUGAUACUGUGCGGCUAGAGUGCGGAAGGGGCAACUGGAAUUCUUGGUGUAGCGGUGAAAUGCGUAGAUAUCAAGAGGAACACCUGCGGCGAAGGCGGGUUGCUGGGCCGACACUGACGCUGAGGCGCGAAAGCUAGGGGAGCGAACCGG